rfam:Schistosoma rodhaini strain Burundi genome assembly, scaffold: SROB_scaffold0009823
AUCCAGCUGACGAGUCCCAAAUGGGUCGAAACCCGCGUCUUUGAU